GACAGAGGCCCCAAGCGUUAGGCGGAAUCACUGGGCUUAAAGCGUGUGUAGGCGGAUCGUUAAGUGUCUUGUGAAAUCCCACGGCUCACCCGUGGAACUGCUGGGCAUACUGGCGAUCUUGGGCCAACUAGGGGCAGCCGGAACAAGCGGUGGAGCGGUGAAAUGCGUAGAUAUCGCUUGGAACGCCGAAGGUGAAAACAGGCUGCUGGGGUUGUGCCGACUCUGAGACGCGAAAGCCAGGGGAGCAAACGGG
rnacentral:rRNA from 1 species